ACGCAGUCUCUAUGUUUCCUGGUCUUCAAACUUCCCAUAACCAGCAGCCGGACGACGUCAGGCUGUUUCAGGAGGCCAAGUAAUGCAAGGCUUGAAGCCACGUUUCCGCCCACACUAGCAGAAGGGAAGCCGAAGCAGCAUGCGUUCACGUGGCCCCGCGAUAUGACGUUACCACGCUGCCGCCGCACAUCGCUUCCAGCCACACCGCCGCUGUUCUUCCGCCAGGCGGCGCCGCAGGGCAGUCGUUCCCAGGAAGGUUUUGUGUUCUGUUCCCUGGCUUAACAGAAGUUUAUCCCCAUUCCCACCCCAGUAAGCCCUAUGGGUGGCAAAGGAGUUAGAAGUGGGACCUGCUAAAGAACUCAAGAGAUCAACACCAGAAGCAUUCCACAGACAUCGUCAGCUAUACACAGUCAAGGAAGCAGUUUGUGGUCAAGGCAGGAAAGAUCAAGUAUGUGAUAAUGUGAAUCCUAGUGUCAGCAGAUCCUGUGAUGAAGCCAGAAGGAACCCCACCAGCAAUGGGCGUCUGCACUAACUAGUAAGACCUCUAAACAGAUGCUCUCCUUGAAGCUGAGGAGACUGCACAACGCAUUAGGACGUCUGGCUGCUGAACUCUGCCUAGUAACUUGCAUUCCUGAUAUCACCUACCACCCUACGAUUGGAGGAAAUACACUGGCCUCCUAACAGAAGGGGGACUGGAAGACACGGUCCUAGCUGACCCUACUGGAUUCCUGCUCUGUCUUUUUCUAACUCUUCUGCCUAUGAAGUUCUAGCCCUGUAGGCUCAGAAAUUGUGUAAAGAGAGGAUGCUGGGCCCUUCCCUUAACUGUCUUGCUGGCCACUCUUAAGUUAGUUGAUGAUAUCCUUAUGUAAACAGGAUUCUCUUGCUUGCUUCCACUGCACAGAGAACUUCCUGGGAACUACACAGGGUGUGCAGGAAACUGGGAAGUGUGGUACCUGCCCCCCACCACAGUAAUGUGUAGUCUGAGGACCAGAGCACAUCUGCAGGGUAGCUAGUGCUUUAAGCUAGUGUCUGGACAGCACUUUUGAGAAACCAUCAUCAUACCUAUACUUGCCUAAACUGGCAACUGCCUCUGUAAUAUACUGCUGUCAUGGCUACGGCCGUGAGCCACAUCUUCCCACUGCCCACUGACACUGUAAUUCAGCAGCUCCAUCCUUUUCCUGGACUCUCGCAUAGCUGAUAGCUGGUCUUCCUGUAUCCGCUCUCCCCUUACCAUAACUGUCUACCCUAUAAAUUUGGGUUGUUGGACUUUGAACUUACUGCUAUCCUGUAACAAGAUGCUC
ensembl:lncRNA